UAACAGAAUAGGACAAACUGAAAGUAUUCGAGAGUAAUUAUGUCCUUCUCAUACAACCGGAAAGAUCCCCUAUAGUGCACUCAUAGCUAUUGAUUAAAUUCUUCUCCUGCCACUAUCAAAACUCAGUCCUUUCCAAAAGUAAGUGUAUUUAAAAAGUUCUAAGAUUGAUAAAUAUUUUAGAUACGUUUUCCAUAAAGAAUUGUCAUUCGAUUUCCAAGCAAAGAUGAUAAUCGUUAACUUUAAAUCAUAGAUAAAAUAGUUCCUUCCAAAUGAUUCUAUACAUUGGUAAGACUACUAUGAAUUCAACAAGCUUCACAAGAAAAUUCCAAGUUCCAAAAGGUUGUUGCAUAGACCACCAAUUGAAAUAGGAUUUGUGCGAAAAAAAUUCAAAGAAACUAAUGUAGUACAAAAAAAUGAAAUGGUGGUAUUGUCCUAGAUACCGUCAAGGAAUUAAAACUAUUUUUGAUUUCUAUUCUCAACAGGUUUAAUAAUGAUGGUUAACAAUAGUAAUGAGAUUAACCCAUAAAUUUCUGACGAUACACCAAUAAUGAUACGUUAACUCCACGUUAGGGUAACUAGUCUCAAAUUCCACACCUUUCUUUGGCAGAUAAGUUCAUUGAUUAUAAUCUAGAGACACACGUCAAAACGAUCUUCUAAAGAUUGACAAAUCAUCAAUUUUUGCUCAAAAUUUAGAAACAACUAACAUAUUUUCCGUACUCGACGAGAUGGCAAGAUUCAAACAUUAGACUUGGGAACCGAGAAUGCUCACAUCACGUGUGUGAUGAAUGCAAUACUGCCCAACUUAUGCUCUGAUACCAAAUUGACACACCCCGACCCGGAAUGUCCAUAAGGACUCCGAAUCGAGCUGUGCUGGCCAAAACCUGGAAGGUGACGAAGCCAUAAAAUGUGAUGAUGUGGAGGAUUGUGAAUAAAUUUAAACCUAAGAGUGCCUAAAUACCAGAGUGCACCGGUGAGCGGGAAUGAACCCACUUCACAAGUGACGUUAGAGCAUAAGCAAGUACAGAAAAAUGAAUUAAGAAUCGUACCCUCGAAAUAAUCUCCAAUACUAAGAAUCGCCACGAAUCUUCGACGAUAAGAAAGCUCAACUAAUAAAACCUGGAGGGUGAAGACAAGACAAGGGUGAGUGGCCCUGUAAGUAAAAUUUUAAUAGAAACCAUGCAAAACAUUAUAACCCCUCACUACACCACCUGUAUAGUUUCUAGAAAAUUCAUAAUAUACCACAACACAACAUUUCAUCAAUAAUAUCAAAUAAUCAUGCGAUUAAUAACUCAUACUAGUACGCAAGUAGGAGUCACCUAGGGUGACCUAUACAACUUACCCACAUCUCAUCACAUAUGCCAGUUCAUAACAUAUUCAUUACAUAUGCGAGCUCGUCACGUAUUCAUUACAUAUGCUAGCUCAUCACAUAUUCAUCACAUAUGUUAGCUCGUCUCUUAUUCAUCACAUAUGCUAGCUCAUCACAUAUGCUAGCUCAUCUCUUAUUCGUUACAUAUGCUAGCUUAUCAUUCAUUACAUAUGCUAGCUCAUCACAUACUCAUCACAUAUGCUAGCUCGUCUCUUAUUCAUAACAUAUGCUAGCUCAUCACAUAUUUAUCACAUAUGUUAGCUCGUCUCUUAUUCAGCUUGUUUCUUAUUCAUCACAUAUGCUAGCUCAUCUCUUAUUCAUUACGUAUGCUAGCUCGUCUCUUAUUCAUUACAUAUGCUAGCUCAUCACAUAUUCAUCACAUAUUCAUUACAUAUUUCAUCAAUCGUGACUAGCAUAUAAGUCGGAGUCACCUCUAGUGACCUGUACGACUGUACUCAUAUUUUAUUAAUCAUUGCUAACACAUAAACUGGAGUCACCUCUAAUGACCUGUACGGCACUACGCCUGCACACAAGUAAGAACCACAGUAGUGGUCUGUACGACAGAACUGGGUGUAAAGGUAUACGUUCAAGUGCUACGAUCAUGUGAAGAGUCACCUACGAGUCAGAACCACCUAUAAUGGUCUAUACGAUAGGCCUGUGCACCUACCUUGAUUUCAAGGUGAGCGUAUGGUGCGGGAGGUGAACAUUACGUGAAGGACUGUGCCCUGGCCACAGACAAGAGCACUAACACCAGGGUGCAGGUUUAUGAGCUCUGAAUGCAUCUAAUACAACAUGUACGACUCAUAAGCAACCUGUACGACAGUGUCAAAGUUGUUUUAAACAUAAAUGAAGUCAUAUUAUAACCCCAUAAAUUCAACUUAUACCGUAUACUUACGUGAACUUACCUAAACUUACCUGAACUUACCUAAACUUACCUAUGUGUCCUGCAUUCACCUUUGCACUUCAGAGCGUUCACAAUAAUUAUAUGCAAAGAAUAUAUGUAUGGAUAUGCCAUGAUGAAAUCUAAAAUAAAAACAUUUCAUAGUAUUUCCAGUUAUAUAAUACGGUGUACUAACUAUUAAUCACCAAACAUAAAGUUAAAACGCACAUUUUUCACUAAUAUCCCUCACAUUGCUCAAUUCCUUAAACAAGGGUAUUGCCUCGAUUAUAUAAUCUCAUUUCUUAUAUGGCUACAUCUAACGUCUCGUUAGACUGCCUACGUACCUUAAACAGAGAUCAAGUCAUUCGUAGUUCGCAAUAAUCAUUUAUAGUAAUACGCAUAUGGAUAUAUCACGAUGAAAUCUAAACUUAAGCAUCUCAUAGUAUUUUAUAACAUAUAUAUAUAUAUAUAUAUAUAUAUAUAUAUAUAUAUAUGUCAUGGCAUAAAUUUCUCAGUUUUAUUUAAAAGAAUUUAUACAAUUAUCAAUCAUGAAAAAUAUGAUAAGCAAGGAAAGAUCCACUCACCUGGAGUCCGCGCUACAACUUCCUAGCACAAACAUUGAGGCGUCACAAAUGAUCGACGCCUGUGACCAAGGCCAAUU
rnacentral:lncRNA from 1 species